rnacentral:lncRNA from 1 species
UGGAUGCCUCACCUGCCUCUUUUUUUCUCAUUAUUUCUCUUAUAAAUUUCUUCAUACUCAGAUGAUUGGCAUAGGACCAGCCACUUCUUAUCUCUCUCUCUCUCUAACCAAAUUAAUAAUCUUGCAAACCAAGAUGAGCGUGGAGCACUAGAUCGGGAACAUGCAAUGGAUUCUGGGAAUCUAUCCGACAACUAAAAUGAUUACAACUCCUUCCAUGAUUCCUAGAUAAGGAAUAGAUGAUAUUAGGAGGACUAGGUUAGAUUUGGGAUAUGCACUAAAAUCCUGACCACUAGUCAAAUGGAUGGUGGAGUCUUACCCUUGAUGUAGACCUUUUUAUUAUAUGAUUAAUUUUUAGUUGGCCCCACAAGUCUUGGGACCC